rnacentral:rRNA from 2 species
AAGGGUUGUUCGAGACUAGAACGUUGAUAGGCAGGGUGUGUAAGCGUUGUGAGGCGUUGAGCUAACCUGUACUAAUUGCCCGUGAGGCUUAACCAUACAACACCCAAGGGGUUU